AGAGUUUGAUUAUGGCUCAGAAUGAACGCUGGCGGCAUGGAUUAGGCAUGCAAGUCGAACGUACUCCCUUCGGGGAGAAAGUGGCGAAAGGGUGAGUAACACGUGAGCAACCUGCCUCCGGAUCCGGAAUAAUCCAGGGAAACUUGGUCUAAAACCGAAUGAAGACAUUUGGUCCGCAUGGUCUAAAUGUUAAAAUAUUUAUAGUCCGGAGAGGGGCUCGCGGCCCAUUAGCUUGUUGGCGGGGUAAUGGCCCACCAAGGCUACGACGGGUAGGUGGUCUGAGAGGAUGGUCACCCACACUGGGACUGAGACACUGCCCAGACUCCUACGGGAGGCUGCAGUCGAGAAUCUUCCGCAAUGGGCGCAAAGCCUGACGGAGCGAUGCCGCGUGAGGGAUGGAAGGCCUUCGGGUUGUAAACCUCUGUCAUCCGGGACGAAAACAAUGACGGUACCGGAAAAGGAAGCCACGGCUAACCACGUGCCAGCCGCUGC
rnacentral:rRNA from 1 species